AUGGAGGGAAAUUGGGAAACUGAGGCUCUUCCACCUUGGGCCACGCCUCAGAGGCCGGAGCCCCACAGGCCCCUGUCCAGGCCCAAGCACUGGCUCCCAGCGGCUGGCAGUAGGGCUGCUGGUAGCUCACAGCCCCCCAUGAACUGCCCUCAGCCAGAUGCCCCAGGCCCACGCCGAUGCCCUUCCCAGGGAUGGGGCCCACCCCACAACUGGUCUAAGGGCACCAGGCCUACCACCAGCCCCUUUUGGGACCACCCUGUGGAGCCCUCCAGCCCCAGAGCUGCCUGGGGCUUCCACCAAAGCCUUCCUUGCAACCUUGUGGCAUCCGGACACCCAAGGUCUGGAUUUCGCCACCCCCACAUCACAAGCCCUCACUUUUCCCCUGCCCCGCACCCCCGUGACUGUCAGAGCCAGACAGCAGGAGUCAGGGUUCCCCAGGCCAGGUCUGGGGACCACCCACUCACCCUCAGAAGCGGGCCCCGGAGCAAGAGCGUCCCAUGGGGCAGAACAGAGGAAAGAGUGGCCUACACACUGCGGGGCAGAGAGAAGAGCGCCCGACCGGCCAUCCUGGAGACACCAGGGGCCAAGAGAGGAGCUUUCCGGGCAAAGAGGGAGGAGCACCCGGGUGGAAACGGAGGAGCACGGGGUCAGCAGUCCUGGAGAUGCCAGGGUGGAGGCCAGGGCAGAGCUGGGAGGGAUUGCAGGGCCCCUCCCCAUUCUCUGUCCCACGGUGGCUUCCAGCCUUCUCACCCCAGCUCCCGAGCACUCCAGGAGGAGGCUCUACACACUCCAGGCUCGCUCUCCAACCCUGCUGGCCUGUUAUCCAGAGCAGGAGCCAGAGACAGGCAGAGCCCAGGCAUGACUACUGUCCCCAGGCCCAGGCUCGGCGCCCACACAAAUCCCCAAGACCCCUCACUCCCCUGCGGGGUCCUCACCAGACCCUGGCCUGAGGCACAUCCCUCAGGCUCUAGGCACAGACUUGGGGUACAAACCCAGCCCAGGCAUCUGCCCGGGAGCCCCAACAGCCUCCUCAGCUCCAAGUGA
rnacentral:lncRNA from 13 species